AAUUUCUAAUUCAGUGAUGGAAGGCUGCUAGGUGUAGUCAAGUACUUGACUUGUCGGUGCGUGUGUCAAGAUGGGAUUGACCACUCCAGUUCAGGAGCUGUGUACAGUCAUGUUUCAAUUUAGCAAAACCUUGGCCAGGGUAGUCCUAGUGAGGAGUCAUAGGACUGUUUGAGUUGAGCACGAUUCGGAUGAUCUGAUCA
rnacentral:lncRNA from 1 species